rnacentral:lncRNA from 1 species
AAGAAGCCCAAUCAAAUGCACACAAGUAAUCUAGAAGACAUGAUUACCUCUAAAAUAUGUGCGUAUAUCACAGAGAUGUUAGUGCAGAUUAAUAUAUUAAAGAGACUGUUAAACAACUGAGGCUGAAGUUUUAAAAGAGCCCUCCCCCCAAAUCUUCACGAAACAUAACCUAAGAAAAGCCCAAAUGUUACUAGGAAUGUAAGACUUAAAAUUAUAAACUCCUAAAAAAUAGAAGUGCAUGGUGGAAACACUGAUAGGUCUUUUACUAUAUGAACACAAACUUCUUUGUUAAAAAUGGAUACCUGAACAAACCCAUUUAGGCAAAAAGAUUUAUCUUUAACACUCUCAUUACAAAGUUCACACCUCUGAAUUUAACCGUCAUGAAAGAGAAUGAUCCAACUGCUAUUUAUGUUCAAGUCCUGUAUUUUUGGCCAUGUAACUGAAAACUCCUUAUUCAUUCUUUAACACACAGUGCAAUAGUGAAAUGACUCUGCCACUGUGUGUUUUUUUAAAAAAAAAUCAGAGUAAGCAUGUUCCUAGUAAACCACAAAGUAGGAUAUUGAGGAAGCAAAUCUAGAUUAAAAGGCAGGAAAAAAAGGCAGAAGUUUAAAUUUCACUUUUUUCAAUUUAUUAGCAUACCAGGACCCUUUAAACCUUGUUCCCAUUAGCGCCUGGUAUCAGAUGUGAAGGAUCAAACCUAUGGAUCUAUCUCCUGACUGCUUUUAUAAGGCGUGUAAAAGUCGGUUUUCAACUGCACACAGGCCUCCUAAAAUGCCUUGUUUCUCUAGUCCCUCCUGCUUUAAGCAGCAUGAGCAGUAAAGCAGGGGUUGGACCAAAUAAAAAGACAAGAGCUAACUGAAUUGUAUGGGAGCAGCAUUUAACAUAUUCCUAGUCAAGGACAGGAUGGGAAGUAAGUGAAGACUAGGGC